rnacentral:rRNA from 1 species
GCAUGCGCAGCUACACAUGCAGUCGAGCGGUAACAGGAAGAAGCUUGCUUCUUUGCUGACGAGCGGCGGACGGGUGAGUAAUACUUGGGAACUUGCCUUUAGGAGGGGGAUAACCGCUGGAAACGGUGGCUAAUACCGCAUAAUGUCUACGGACCAAAGCAGGGGCUCUUCGGACCUUGCACCUAAAGAUAGGCCCAAGCGAGAUUAGCUAGUUGGUGGGGUAAAGGCCCACCAAGGCGACGAUCUCUAGCUGUUCUGAGAGGAUGAUCAGCCACACUGGGACUGAGACACGGCCCAGACUCCUACGGGAGGCAGCAGUGGGGAAUAUUGCACAAUGGGGGAAACCCUGAUGCAGCCAUGCCGCGUGUGUGAAGAAGGCCUUCGGGUUGUAAAGCACUUUCAGUGGUGAGGAAGGCCGUAAGAUUAAUACUCUUGCGGAUUGACGUUAACCACAGAAGAAGCACCGGCUAACUCCGUGCCAGCAGCCGCGGUAAU